rnacentral:tRNA from 1 species
GCCGCUGUAGCUCAGUUGGGAGAGCACGCCCUUGGUAUGGGCGAGGUCGAGAGUUCAAGCCUCUCCAGUGGCUCCA